GGAUGUGAGGGCUAUCUGACUGUGACAUCUGUCAGAUGACUUCAUUGAUUUCCAAGAGUGAUUCAGCUGAUGUGACAGGUGUCUUCUUCCUCCCUUACUGCUUUAUGUGCAUUCCUUCCAGCUGCGUGCUUAGUCAAAGAGGAUUACUUUCCUCAACAGAAGAGGACCAGUCAUUGGUCAAGGGUGUAGGAGUAGCUACACUCUCCCCUGCUAGAACCUCCAAACAAGCUCUGAAAUAGUACUUUAAAAAUUACUUAUUCAUGGGGCUAGAGAGAUGGUUCAGCAGUUAAGAACACUGACUGUUCUUGCAGAAGACCCAGGUUCAAAUCCCAGCA
rnacentral:snRNA from 1 species